rnacentral:miRNA from 1 species
UGAAAACCUUGUUUGGAUUGGC